AUCAGGAGAGGGAUGCUGACAAAACACACAGGAUUCUAACCGUGCCUUUGCCCUGGUGCCUGCUCUGGGCGUUAUCCCACGCUUUCAGGCCUGUCUGUAGGAUGCCACUCAAUGUGAGGCAGCUUCAUCUGUGAGGUGUUCUGUGGAGAUCUGAGACCAGCGUGGAAGGAUGCAAGAAAAUGACCCAGUCAAACCUCAAGGUGACAGAUGUUGAGAAUUGUGUGAACGCGUGAGUAACACAAGAACGCGAGGAAGGCUUCCUGAGCAUCGCUCGCCUUUCCCCUGGGUAUAAGCAGCUCAAGAGAUCUUUGCUUCAAUUAAAACUGUGUUUUCCACUGAAAUUCCUAAUAACCACAGAUUCUUCCUUCCCUGUGCAAGCAGCAAAAGUUUGAUGGAAGGGCACAUGAGUUGCUGAUAUUGGUGACCCAAGUCAGUAGCCACAGGACUCAGCAGUCACAAGAAAGGAAGGAAGAGGUGAUGAUUUCCAGGAAAGUAAAUGACCAGCUCUACCUGGUAAUGCUUCUAAAAGCUGCACUUGUUCUGCUGCAGGAUCUGGUCGAGGUUUAACAGUGCAUGAGGAAAGACUGUAUGCUACAGAUUGUGCCUGAAUAGUAGAGAGGAUCCCUAGGACAUUCUCAAGCUUUCCCGAUGCACAAUAUUUCUUCUUCCCUUUAUUUAGGGAAAAUGAGCUACUACAAACCUUGAAAGAUGUUCCCAUCAAGCUACUAGCCAUUUACCUUAACACACAAGAUAAUGGUACUUCCUGAUGGUGAGCAUCAGGAGAGCUCAAAGCAAAAUCUUACCGAUGUGCAAGCAAAUGAAUACACAAUCUAACCCUGAUUACUGUCAUCUCCACUUCGUUUUUUAUCCUUGGCAUGUGAUACAGUUCUUGGAAAUGCUCAGCAAUUACCCUUUCCUUAUUGCUAUUGCUAUUUCCAGUUUUACAGCUGCAUGAAACUUAGCUUAAGGAUACAUUUUAGUAGAAACUGUAUUGGACUGUUAUGUGGCCUCUGAUCUUAGACGAUCACAGUAUUACAAACAACAACAACAAAAAAAAACCCAAACAACUAAAUCUUCCAUUAAAUAUCAUUCUGUCUCCAACACAGCUGAACAAAGUUUCAUUUUUAGCAUGUUAAAACUGGAGAUGGAAGAUGAUGCUGAAGAUGAGGGUUCAGUAAGAAGAGGUAAUUAGGAAAGCUUUAAGGAAUAAAAGGGAGAAAUGGCAGCAAUGAUGGAAUUGAGGUGACUGAAGCUGGGAAACAUAGACACAAAGGCAAGAGACCAGAAAAGGAUUUUUUGUGAGAAGUGGACUCCAAGGAAAUGUUAACAGGAAGAUGGCUUGCUCUUAGAGCUCCACUGUGACCUAGGGCUGAGGAAGGAAGAGCUGUGUGGAGCUUGAGAGGCCUCAAGGGGAACGCAGCAAUAACCGUACUGAGUGGUGAUUGAGCAUUUCUAAUGAGGGAUGUCUUUGAUGAGAGUCUAACUGGAGAAAUGCGUGCUAGCAAAGCGAUGCAUCAGAUGCUGUGGCUCUUGACUGUGGAGAGAUUAAUGAGCAGCAAGGAAGACAGAAAUAAGAAGUAGGUGGGGAGAGAAAUGCAGAAGCUAUUUACUAGAAAUCUGUGACAGAGUGGGCAAGAGCUUCUUUUUGUUGAAUAAAUUACUGUCAUU
rnacentral:lncRNA from 7 species